UGUUCUUGAAUGCAAAAGACGAAGUCACACAAGGGGGGUAACUUCCCAAGAAAAGCACACCCCUUAAAUUAUUUGCACCCAUUCCUGUUGCCCACUUUGGGGAAACUGCCGGUGUCACACCGGAGAAAGGUGGGGUGGAGUUUAAAUUAUCAUCCCCUUUAUGUCUUGGGCUUCACCCGUGCUCAAAUGGCAUAUACAACGGGUCCCCAACCCGGGAGGGUGCGCUAAUUUUUUAAAGUAUGUCUCAGUUGGGAUUUUGGGUUGCAAGUUAUUAUACAGGAAGUGGGAAUCGUUUUGUAAUCGUAGAUCACCACUUAGCGGGGAUGACGUCCCGGGUCUUCACUCUCCUCAGAUAAAACCAAAUGAGUUCAAGCUCCCAAAUCAGUUCGGGUACCUCUUACGACUUGCANNCNNCCCUUGGUNNNNNUNU
rnacentral:rRNA from 1 species